rnacentral:ncRNA from 1 species
UCAUCUUAGCAUGACGAGGAAUUAAAAGGGAAUCCUGUGAAAGUCAGGAACUAUCCCCGUAGCUGUAAGCUUUGUCUCCCUUAUGUGGAGGAAUGUUGUAACCUAUCUAUAGCCACUGGUCAUAAAAAUAACCGGGAAGGCGUUGCAACAGAAGUCAGUCAGAAGACCUGCCAUAUUUUACU